rnacentral:lncRNA from 1 species
UAUAGAGACGUGGUCUCGCUGCUUUGCCCAGUCUGGUCUCAUUUUGGGUUUGAGGAGUCACAGGAAAAAGAAACCACAGUAUUACACUGAGGCAGGGGAAUCGCUUGAACCCGGGAGGCAGAGGUUGCAGCGAGCCGAGCUUGUGCCAUUGCACUCCAGCCUGGGCAACAAAGUGAGACUCAAAGUAAUUAAUGACCAAAAUGAGUGACUGAGACAGUGUCAGUCUCCAUCCAUCGAGGUUUAUGAAAUCGGC